GGGAGGCAGCAGUGAGGAAUAUCGGACAAUGGGGGCAACCCUGAUCCAGCCAUGCCGCGUGAGUGAAGAAGGCCUUCGGGUUGUAAAGCUCUUUAAGCGGGGAGGAAGGUCAGUCACCUAAUACGUGAUUGAAUUGACGUUACCUGCAGAAUAAGCACCGGCUAACUCUGUGCCAGCAGCCGCGGUAAUACAGAGGGUGCGAGCGUUAAUCGGAAUUACUGGGCGUAAAGCGUGCGUAGGUGGUUUCUUAAGCUGGAUGUGAAAGCCCCGGGCUUAACCUGGGAACUGCAUUCAGGACUGGGAAACUCGAGUCUGGGAGAGGGUGGUGGAAUUUCCGGUGUAGCGGUGAAAUGCGUAGAUAUCGGAAGGAACAUCAGUGGCGAAGGCGACCGCCUGGCCUAAGACUGACACUGAGGCACGAAAGCGUGGGGAGCAAACAGGAUUAGAUACCCCUGUAUUCG
rnacentral:rRNA from 1 species